GGGCCCGUAGCUCAGCAAGGGAGAGCGGCGGGCUCCAGACCCGUAGGUCGGGGGUUCAAAUCCCUCCGGGCCCA
rnacentral:tRNA from 1 species